rnacentral:lncRNA from 10 species
CGCGCGCACCUGCAGACGCUGCACGUCUUAAGUUUCGAGUGAUUUGGGGAAGGAAAGAGGACCGAGAAGAAAAGAAAAGGGCUCGGGGGGGGGGGGGGGUGGGCGGGUGAGGGGCGGAGGAGAGGACGAAGGAAAAAAGCCGGGAGAGGGAGAAGAAAGAAAUCUUCCUUUUGCAAAAGGAGGCAUAAUGUGGCUUAGAGGUUGCCAAAGCAAAAGGUUUUGCUUUAUUUUGUUUUUGCAACCGAGGCGUUCAGGGUGGGGCUGGCGCGAGGGAAGGGUGGAUGGGGAGAAGGUCACUGUCUUAGCACAUGGCGAGAUUUAUUUACUCCUUUGGAUUAUUUCGGUUUCUCGCCGAAUGGCUUUGAUCCUGGAUUCCUAAAAAUACCUUUGAAAGAUUGAAAGACUCGCCCCGCCCCCCCAACCUCCACACCGUCUUACUGCCUAACUCCUCGGAACCCUCGGAGGUUGCGCAUAAACAAUUUUUUCUUCCAGAACGGCCCCCCUCUCCGCCCUGGGGGAGCCGGGAGGAUGUGCAGCCCCAGUCCUCCUGCUCGGCGGAGCCUCGCGCGCGCAGAGCCUAGCGCGAUUCGCGCCCUCAUUACUACUACAAAGCGCGGGCCAGACCAAUCCCCUUUCUAAUGCACCAUUUUCGACUGAGAACAUCAAGAGGCCAGAAACUUCCAAGUCAGCUUGCAGACGCAGACGCCUCCUGGGGUCCUGGCUUUAAGAACCAGAUGCCAACACUCCCGGACAGUUUAUGGCAUCCGGAUCCCUCAAGGGUGCUCAUCUGCAGUUGAGAGUGAUUCUGUGUGAAGAAUACAGAGACAGACGUUCCAUUUCAAAGAAAAAAGAGCAACACGAAGGCCCUCUUUAAGGAGAGAGUAAACAUUCACUUUAGGUAAAAAAUAGUCUUUUACACGCCUGUGCACGGCACACCUCUUUUGCUGUUCACCUUGAGCCCAAGAGUUUGGAAAGGCUGCCCCCAUUUCAGAGAGGAAGAAACGCAGGCACACGUGAAUGACAGACUCCUCUGUGGUGGCCUAGACUCCAGCCAACACUUCCUAGGACAGCCUGCCAUUGUGCAAAGUCACCAUGUAACAAAUGCAGACAUCUCUGAGAUCACCAUGCAGUGAGGAAGUCUAAGCUGGUGGCAUGAAGAGGCCACAUGGAAAGGGCUAAAAAAGGGGCCAGCCUCAGUCAUCCCAGCUGAGCACCUGGCUGGGAAUAAAAGAGGACUCCGUGGAUGUCCAGCCCAGUAAGAUGACCUCAGCCCCAGCCACCAACUGACCAAGCACACAAGACAUCGUGAGGCUGCCUGCUGGAGCCUGGCCAGUGGGACUGUAGAGUAACUCAUUGUCGUGCAGGAACUCCUGGGAUGGUGUUGCCCAGUGACACAAUCCCAGUGUGGCCAUUUCUGAUCCCGAGAAAGCAGUCAGGAGUGGGUGGAUGCAGUUACAGUUCAUCAAGUCCUGCUAGUUCAAGUCAUGAGUCCUGAAUUCUCCAGGAGGAGCCACUAAAGAAAUGCAGAAGCAGGCAAUCCUUGCAAUAAGGCCAGCAAACUGCCAGUGUGAAGGAUGCCCAGGUAACCUGCCCAUGCCAGAACGGCCAGGAGAUGGUGGAACCAGAAUCUAAGCCCACGCCCAUCUGACCUCAAAGUCUGUGCUCCUGAGGUUCGCACCGAGUUGCCUCCUAAGACUUGCUGAAACUGGAUCACGUCCAUUUACCCAUCUCUGAGAGAAAUGCAAGCUUUAAAAAAGGAAAUAUUUACUAUGGAUAUUUUACAAUAGUUCCAAAACAUGAAAGUUUUAAAUAAGAUAUUCUUAACCAUCCUCACCACAUCUUCAGGUUCCCUUACAGCCACUGUGUUUUGACGAUUGCCCAUUAGAAAAAAAGACUAUGCUUUCUGUAGGUUUUAAAGGAAUGGUGGUGAAAUAAGGAGCAUUCCCUGAGCAGAUCUUGCCUGCGGGCACACCUCUGAGCAUUGGACCAGGCGAGAAGAGCCCAUGUGUUGGCUGCUUUGGGAUCCCAGCACUGCCAAUGGCAGGUGGGCUGUGGCCCAGGGAGAGAACCUAGCCUUUUGCAUUCUCUUGCCCCAUUUGAAAAUGGAGACGAUAGUGGCGCCCCGCUCAGUGUUAUUUUGAGGAUUUGAAUGUAUCUCAGAUGUAGUACCUGGAAAAAUAUAAGUGCUCAGUAAAUACGGUUGCCAGAUAAAAUGCAGGAAACCUAUUUAAAUUUAAGUUUUGGCUGGACAAUGAAUAGAAUAAUUUUUCUUAGUAUGAGUAUGUCCUUAUAUUUCAUCUGCUAAAUUUAGCAACCUCCUCAGUAAACGAUCACUACAAUUGCAGAAACGCCUUAUGACAGAUAUAGUAAAUCUGUAAAGAAAUAGGAACUUGCAUUUAUUUUUACUAAGCUCUGACUGGUUAAGAUAACUGGGCAAGAGAAGAUAUCUUCGACUAAACUUGCAGCACAUAGAGUAUAGAGAUUCAAAUUUGAAGUCCUAUAGGACUAGAAUGGCCAGAGGUGAACUGUAGCGAGCUUAUCUAAAGAGGACCAAUUUCAAAAGUUCCUCAGAGACUUAAAUGGGCCCACAGACCCCUCCUGUGUCUUUGCAUAAGCCAGCUCGUUAUAUCAGUUAUAAGUUGAUUUCCAGAGAAAUGUACCCUGGAGAUCCCUCUCCCACUUGAAAUAGGACUGGCCAAUCCAGAUGUCCCCCAGGUGAUGUUGGCUCAAAUGGAGCUCCAUAUAUUGGAGAAUCUAUUCAAGAAAACAAGCAAAAGUAUUUGUGACUGAGUUAGCUAAUGCCAGCUGGUAUCUUGAACAAACCCAGAUCUCUAACAUGCUAGUUUAUUUCGUAGUGUAAAAUGUGUGUUACUGAUGGGCAGACAGCUCUCAUUCAAGCAGUGACAGAUGUAAGCUCUUCCCAUUUUUGUGGCCCCAUUGUAUUCGGCGUGUGGCUUCCAAGUUGCCUGGGAUCAUCUCCACCCAGACUAAGGAAGAGGAAAGAGCUUGGACAACUGCACUUGGCUGGUUUUUAUGGAUCAGGCAAGGAAUUGGCUCCAACACAUUAGCUCACAUUCCAUUGGUUAGAACUGGGUUUCUCAACUAUUAGUACAGGGUGAGUGUAGGGUUUUGGCACCAUGGGCAUUUGAGCUGGCCAAAGGCUAAUCAGAGUUAGAACAAAGCCACAAAGCCUGUGAAUGGUGUUUAUUGUUGUGAGGAGCUGUCUUGUGCAUUGUGGAAUGUUCAGCAGGAUGCUCUCUGGCCUCAGAGACUCACUAGAUUCCCAUAGAACUCUCCUCUCUCCUCUAGUUGUGACAACCACAGUUGCCUCCUCUCCAGACAUUGCUAGAUGUCCCCGGGAGGCAAAAUUGUCCUGGUUGAGAACCACUGUGUUAGAACUCGGUCACAUGGCCAUACCUAACUGCAAGGGAGGGGGCUGGAAGAUCUAGACGAGUAGUAUGCCAGGAAGAAAAUAGAACUGAUUUAGAGGCUGCUGGCCAGUCACUUUCAGUGACCUUCAGCAUACUUAUUCCUCUGCAGCUGUCAGGACACUCAUGCCUGUUUCUGAGAUGUUUCCUGUGUGAGGGGACAUAGUGACUAUUGGAGGGGUGACAUGUUGGACUUGGGUAGGGUGAAGAGGAUUGGAAACCACCAUCAUGUUUGGCAGCAUUGAAUGUUUAUGACUAUUUGAAUAGUUGUGACAAGGGUACAGUGAAGGAGGAAGUAACCAUUUUUGAAUACCCUUUUACAAUUUGCAAAGCACUUUUAAAGGUAAGAGUGAGUUCCUAGACCAUAUUAGGGUGAGAAUGGACAUUGUUGGCUGCCAUAUCAUUGGGCAGGGGCUUUGAGAUUUUUGUCUUCAGAAGGCAGAUUAGAUUUGGAGUAGAAGGAGAAAUGUAAAGACCUGGUAUCUGAGUGUGUUUGCAGAGGGGAAUUGUCGUUUGGAAGCACAAGAAAGGGAAUGGCCCGUUGGCACAUAUGGUACAUUGUGUUUUCAUAUAAUUAUACCUGAAUGAAAGCAAGAGGAAACGUGUAGGAAGCUGUUUACAUAGUCCUUUUAAUAAUGUUUACAUGAGUUAAUGAACAUGCAAACGUAUCUGAUGAAAACAUGUCAGUAGUGAAACAGCCUUGUGAAGAAUCAGAUCUUACCUCAGGCUGGAAAAAAGGACUGGUUUUCCAAGCUCACAAAUUGCAGCCAGUGUGAAUAGUAGCACAAAUGACUGAGCUUUAAGACAUCCAUCCAUCCAUCUAUCCAUCCCCUCAUCCAUCCAUCCCCUCAUCCAUCCACCCAUCCAUCCAUCCCUUCAUCCAUCACUCCAUCCAGCCAUCCGUCCCUUCAUCAAUCCAUCCAUCCCUUCAUCCAUCCAUCCAUCCUUCCUUCCAUUCAUCCCUUCAUCCAUCCGUCCAUCCAUCCAUCCAUCCACUCAUUCAUCCCUUCAUCCAUCCAUCCAUCCAUCCUUCCUUCCUUCCAUUCAUCCCUUCAUCCAUCCGUCCAUCCAUCCAUCCACCCAUUCAUCCAUCCAUUCCUUCAUCAACUCAUCCCUUCAUCCAUCGUCUACCAUUCAUUCACCCCUUCAUCCAUCCAUUCAUUUAUCCAUCCGUCCAUUUACUUCCAUCCAUCCCUUUAUCCAUCCAUUCACCCAUUCAUCCCUUUAUCCAUAUGUCCAUUCCUCCAUCCAUCCAUCCAUCCAUUUACUCUUCAUCCCUUCAUCCAUUUUUCCAUCCAUUCAUCCAUUCAUCUUUUCAUCCAUCCAUCCAUUGAUCUAUCCAUCCAUCCAUUGCUCCAUCCAACCAUCCAUCCAUCCCUUCGUCCCUUCAUCCAUCCAUCCAUUCAUCCCAUCAUCCAUUGAUCACUUCAUCCAUCCAUCCUUCCAUCCUUCCAUCCAUUCUUCCAUUCAUCCAUCCAUGUGUUCAGCAAGUAUUUACUGAAUGCCUAUUAUGUGCCAAGCACUCUCCUCAGAACUUAGGAAAUACCAGGAAACAAAAUCAACAACAAUCCCUCACCACCUGGAUAUUACAUUUUGGUGGGAAGAGACAAAGAAAUAAAAUUGGUGAGUGAAUCACAUAGGUUAUUAGAAGGUGAUAAAGGUGUAGGUGAUAAAGGAGAAGUGCCAGGAGCAAGGAUUGGGUACAGUUGUGAAUAAGGUGGCCCCAAUAGGUUGCACUGAGAAGGUGACAUUUGCACAGAGACUUGAAGAAAGGAAGGAGAGAACAUGACUGUACCUGGGUAACAGCAUUUGUGGAAGAGGGAACAGCCAGUGUAAAAGUUCCAAGGCAUGAGUGCCUGGUACAUACAUGGAACAUCGAGGCCAGGGUGGCAGAAACGCGGUGAGUCCAGGAAGGGAAUAGGAACUAAGUGUAGGAAGGUGUACAGUGGGGUGGUGUGGGGGUGGAAUUGUGGCAGCCAGAUGGUGUUGGCCUAAGGCCUCUUGGCCCUUGUUAGGACUUGGUUUACCAUGGCGCAACACAUCCAUGAGAUUGGCAAAAAUUAAAAAGUCUGACAACAGAAAAUCUGGUAAUCUGGUGAGGAUGUGGAGCAGUGGGAAUUCUCCAAUACUGCCAGGGAGCAUGGGCAUCAAUCCCACCACACUGGAAUGCAAAGGGGCAUUCUGAGUAGAACUGAAGAUGUGCCCAUCCUUGACCCCACAGUUCCAGCCAUGGGCAUGCGCAUGAAUGUGCACACGUGUUGACUGCGGCAUUUGUUUGUCAUUAUGAAAACAUCUAAGUUUCCAUCUAUGGGAGAGGGGAUAAUGUGGGAGUGCCCAACAGUGGAGUUCUAGAGAGCAGUAAAAAUAAAUGGACUAGAGCUGCACACGUCAAAAUGGAUGAAGAUAAAAGACAUAAGGAUGGAAGAAGACCACCUGGCCACAGAAGUAUAUGUCCAAUAUGAUGCUGGUGUAUCCAGAGUGUUCAAACAAACAACACAACACUACUCAUUGUUUCCAACGUGAGUAUGAAAGUAUGGAGCAGUGCGGAGGGCCAGGAGUGCUGAAUCCACAUGGUUACUUCUCCAGGCGGGGGCCGAGGACCAGGGCUGGAGGUUUACUCCAGGAGCUUCAGUGGUGCAUGCUGAAUGUGCUGUUUCUUGGGCUGGGGGACAGAGAUGUGCAUGCUGUUAUACACUCUAUAUUGAAAUGAUUGUAUAACAAUAUACUAAUUUAUCAUGUAAUAAAUUUGACCAGAAAGAAACAACUGUUCUGUGGCUGCUUCCAUGACUGGAUUUCACGUUGUAGGUUUCUAAGCAGAGAGUCCAAGGAAAACCAAAGGAGCGGCGGAAGGAUAAGCCUCCCGGGUGUUCUGGGAGUGUCCCUUUGCUUGGG